GGGGAGAGAGAACGAGUGAGACAGAAUCGGUGGGAAGGGAGGGAGGGAAGAAGGGAGGGGGAGAAGGAGGGAGCGAGCGGUGUAAAUGGUGGGCGAGGGAGAGAGUGGGAGAUGAUUCACGCUGUUUCUGAGCCCCCUUCCGCCCCUGCCCGCCCUAGUGCCGCGCCUGACGCUGCGGCUCAGCUGCCCGCCGCUCCCGGGCUCGUGUGCACGGGGGUGGAGAGGGGGAUCGCUGCCGGGGUGGCGCGGCGCUGCUCGGCUCUAGCCCCGGCACCGCGGGCGCCUGCCCGGGGGCUGGGGCCGCCACCCUCAGCUGCACCGCAGAAACCCUAAAGGCAGGACAGCUGCUCCUUGGAACUUGGUUUUGUGACUGUUUCUCUGGGAUCCCUUUUCCAGUGACUGACCAACCUCUUACUGAAGCACCUCUUCCUCAUCGGGUUUGGUCAGAACUUCCCCUGAUGGAGCUUCAUUCCAGUUCCUCAUGUCCUAUCACUAAUCACCAGAGAGAGCAGUUUAGCUCCUUCUCCUCUUCUGCUCUUCUUAAGGAAGUUGAAGACUGAGAUGAGGUAUUCCCUCAGCCUUUUCCUCUCCAAGCUCCAGCAAACCAGCUGACCCCGGCUGCUUCUCCCUGCCUUUCGCCAUCUUGGUCAACCUUUUCUGAAUGCACUCUAAUAGUUCCAUGGUCUUCUUAUGUCGAGGAAAAUAAUAUAAAUAUGAAAAUCAUUAGAGCAAUUUGAACAAUGGUGUGAUAUGAUAAGGAUGCUUUUCCUUUAGAACAUAAUGGAACAUGUAACUCCACCUGGAAAGAACCUUUUUCCUGGCAUAAAUUUAUUGACAUCAGUAGGCUGUCAUUAGGGAAAUGGAUCUUCCACUUAAGAAAAUGUGUUUUAGACUUAUAAAAGUUUUCAUUUUUGUCUAGAAAAAGUAGUUUCAGCAUAUUCCAGUCUGCUUUAUUGAUUUUGAGAUUACUUUUGGAACUAAAGGUGAUGUGAUGAAUAUGUCAGCCAACUCAGUCAAAACCCCCACUUUUAAUAUCUGUCAUCCAGUGCGUCAGGUUAUUUCCCAAGUUCAAAGAACAAACUGAUAGACUAAGAAUGCCUUAGACACAGAAGAAAUACACAAAAGAUGAUAUUGAUUUAAUUAAAACAUUAUGAUUCUAAUCUAACAUCAGACACAAUAAUUUUUAAGCUAAUUUUUUUUUUAAGCAAAACAUGCAAGGGUUAAAAUUCUUAGUUAAAAUUCUUAGAGCAAAUAUAUCUUCCUGCAUUCCACAAAUUUUUCAUUUUAAAGUAAAUGUGUUAACAGAAAUGGGGCUAUAAUAAACUAUAAUUUUAAAGUUUAGCUAAGUUUAAAUAGCAAUAGAAUAGUCAUUCCAGCAUGCUUUACUAUCUAAGUAAAUUCCUACCGCCCAUCCCCCAAGUUAACUUAUUGUCCUCUUUUAAGAAUUUAAAAUUUUAUAAAGAUGAAACAUGUGGUAGAACUUUUAACAAUUUAAGAAGACAAUAGAAGAUGAUGGUUCUAGGAAAUUAAGGGUUAAGGGUUUUUUCCAGUUUUUAGUGUCUAACUGUAGUAGUCACAAUUUAGGCAGUAGCCACAUGUGGUUCUGCCAAAUUCAAAGCUAUUAUUCUGUAUCAAACCCUGAAAGAUUUUGUUCAGUUACACAAAUGCUCAUUCACUUGAGUAGUCUUUAUUCAUAUAUGUGAUUGUAUUCAACACAUUUUUUUAUGAUUAAUCAAAACACUAAAGUAUUACAAAAAGAGUACCUUCUAUUUUCUUGUGUUCUUGCACAAUUUUCUAUACAGGCAAAUAUUCUUAAGAAACUAUUUAAACUGUUUAUUAUGUACAGCAAAGCAUGCCUGUAAAACAUUUUGUGUCCCUAUUUCUACAACAAUAUACAAUAUUUUUAAUCAUUAUAAUCCGAAGCUUCAGUGUUCUUGAAAUAUUGCUUUGUUAAUCAGAUUUCUUAUACUUAGAUAAAUAUUACUUUGCAAAUCUAUAGAACAGAAUGUAUAGAAAAUAUCAAUACCUCAAACUUUUGUAUUUUUCAAGUCUGAAUUUUGUUAAUUAUCUUUUGGACAUUGUGGGUAAAUUAAUUAUUAUUACAUUGUCAUAAUGUGGGGGAACUGGAUUGCACUAUCUCCAAAGAUUAUGCAUUACAUCAAAAUGGAUUACCUAAAACUGGUUGAAAGCCAUUUCUCUCAUCGUUGCAAUUAUCACAUUAGUGAAAGAAAACAGUCAGCAUUCCAUGAGCAUUUUAUUUCUUUAGUAUCUCUAAUAUUUCCCAGGAGAAUAAAUCAUAUAAUCAAGUAAAAAUACUUGGUGAGAUCAAUUCUGCAGCACUGUGUUACUUUUUCUGGAAAGUCAUUUAUCAAAGAAUUAACUGUAUCCAUGUUAUUCAGUGUUAUCUACAUACCUUAAUAAAACAUAUGAUGACAGCAGGCAUUGAUCAUGGAAGUUUGAACGUUAUUUUAUUGUGAUUGUUUUAAAUAUUCAGUUUGAUGAAAUGAACAUUCUGGGUAAAUUCAGCCACCUGAGAAUAAAGUUAAAAAUUUUAAUUACUAUAUGAAAAUAAAGAAGCAUAUCACUUAUAUUUGGUGAAUUUCUGUUUUAUUAAAAAUCUCUAGGAUAUUUGAAUUACAUUUUGUCAAUAACAUAAUAUCAAAAACAUUUUAAUGACGAAAAUCUUUAAAAUAAAAGAAAAAUAGAUAGUAUAUUAAAAUGCAAGUAUGUGCAUCUAUGUGUGCUUAUAGCUGUGUACACACAAAUAAAGCACAUGCAUGUGAAUGAUGUACAUACCUUGUGCAUGUAAGUAUAUACACGUGCAUGUUGUAUUCAUGAUUAGAAUCACACAGCGAUUUUGAGCCCUCUAGUGGCAAGAAACCUCUCUGUUAAGAAACCAUUAAUCUCAGCCUAAGUAUAUCCACUCUAAGAGGCAAGUGUCUAAAUGUCUACAGUAUGAUUAUGCCUUCAUGUAAGUUCAGGCUAUCUCCCUGCAGUUGGCAUGGGUGUGCACAUGCAAAUGGUAAUAACUACAUAGAUUUGCAAAUUGUGUUAUUGUUUCCAGCAUGGUAACUUUUCUGCCUUUUCUUUGUUAAAAAAAUAAAAAAUAUCUAUUCUGUA